rnacentral:lncRNA from 1 species
GACAAAGUAAAGCCCAUCAACUUGUGAGAGGCUCACAAAAAUAUCAAUUAGGUUAGAUAGAGUGGCGUCAGGGAGGUGAUAAGCAAACAUUUCUAUCUGCUCGGGAGUAGGAUGUAGGCCAGCAGCCUUCACAGGGGGCACAGCCUCGCUCAGGAUCUCCUUCAGCUGCAGCAGGUCAUCACGGUGCAUUGCAGUGACUUCUCCUUGCUUGAAAGACGAGCCAAAACGCCCAGCUCUGCCCGCAAUUUGUAGAGCCUGAGAGGUUGUAAUUGAAUCUAUUUCCUUCUCUCCUUUUUCGUUGACGGUUGGCUUUACUAUUGAGUUAAAAAUUAUUCUUUUUAUACACAAAUUGAGUCCCAUUCCGAUGGCAUCUGUAGCAACUAAGAUUUUGCAUGGGUCAUUGGGAUCAUUGAAUUUCUUUGCCUGUUCAAGUUUUGUUCCUGGUGGCAGACUGCCAUAUAUAACAGCACAUUCUAAUCCUCUAGCUUCGAUCUGUCGACUGACAGAAUAAAUGUCAUUCUUACUGAAACAAACAAUGCAGUCCCCAGGCUGGAGGUUAUCUAAAGACUCUAAGGCAUAGUCCAACACAGUAAGAGGAGUGAGUCUCUUGUAGUUUCGGAC